ensembl:lincRNA
CACAGCUUCACUCCACUGAGACAUACAGAGACACACCUCCCUUAUUUAUCAAAACAAGCACUUAAAAAGGAUUCUUACCAUGGUCAACGUGAGCCAAAACACAAAUAUUCCUGAUGUUGGCAGUGUUUUUCUGGAGAUGAAUCAUCUUAUCCAAACUGUUGAGCACCAUGGUUUACUUAUUUCCUGUGACUAAAAAUUAAGUAAGUAUUAGCCCAGAGAUUAAAGGUCGGGGCAAAAGAAAAAAAUAAUAAAUGCUAGGAGGUGGCAAGGCUUCUCAAACCCCUUAAACUAAGAACCCAGUGAAUAUUUAUUGAUGAGACACACCACCUAGGCCUAAGUCCCGUUCGUGCACUAAAGUCAAUAUCCUAGCACAAUUAUACUUAAGGAGUUUGCUCAUCCUUCCGGAUCCGAAGGCUGCGAUGAAUCACGCAGCUCGAGGCGGCUGGGUGCAGAGUGACACCAGUAACCCUGCCGGUGGAGGAGUACUGGGCUAAACUUCUCCAGGCCAAUGACCACGUACAGGAAGGGUUGCAUGCAGGAGGGAGAGAAGAUGCUGAAGAAGAUGCUCCCUUUCUCUCUUCAGUCUUCCCCCAAGUCCCUCAUUCUGACAUUCUCGCUAGUCCUCGCGCAAGGUGGAAUACCCAGCUUUAUUCCUGCCCACGGAGCCCGAACAAAAUUUUGGGUCACGUGCUUAUUAUCCAAGCAGGUGCAUUGCCGGUCUUUCAUUCCUUUCUAAAUAAAAAGGAAAAACCUCUACACUACAUGCCCUUCAUUUCGGCAGGGUCCCGGAUUCGCUCUCUUUGAGAAUCGCUGGUCCACACAGACAGGCCACCGCCCCGGCCCCAGACUGGAAGCGACACUCCGGGGACCACCGCUCCCAGCCAGGGCUCGGCCCCAGCCCGCGUUCCCGCCUCAGAGCCGCAGCGAGCUGGGUCCUCCAAGCACCGCCCAAAGGCUGGCCAAGGAAGAUGCCAGUCCCCAGCGCGAGCUCGCACUCACCGGCGGCAGCAGCCCCACAAGCCCAGCUUCUCCUCUGGGGUCGCAGCCACACCAAGAGCUUCCGAAACGCAAAGAUCUCUGCGAGUCCGGCACGCCCGCGCGCCAGGGGGCGGGGCCGGCUGACGCUCGACCUUUCACCCGCGCGUCUCUGGCGCCACCGGAAGCCGGCGCCGGGUCUGUCACCAGGCAUAUCUCUGUUGCCUUGACUACGGCGGGCGCUGUGGGAGUGAAGAAGCCGCAAGUGCUGAGGCGCGGUGGAGGAAGGCAUGGGAGCCAAGAGCAUGAGGAGCUGGUGUCUGUGUCAGAUUUGUAUCUGCGGGUGACAUCAUUGUCCACAUGGAAUCACAAGGAUCUAUGAAAAUUCGGGGGUGUUUUGCCCUACAACUGAAUAUUUGGAAAAAUAUCCUAUGUAUGACAAUGUUCUUCCAGCUCAGAGCCUUAAACGCCAGCAAGAAAUUUAAGCAUGCCAUGGUAAAAUGGAAGGAAUAACUACAGUUAAGUAAAUAUUUAGUAACUAUUUGCUUUACUUAUUUUUCUCCCAACUCUUCUGGUGUCAAUAAAGUUUUCUAGCUAUUUAAAUUACUGUUUAGUUGAUGUAAGUUGAACCAAUUUAAUAGGCAACAGACUAGUUAAGUCACAACUUGAAAAAAAAACAGAAAAAUACGAAUUAAGUUAGGCUGACAAAGUGUGAGAAGAAAAAAGGGAUAUAAAAAGUUCUAUUUUUUUUUUAACUUCCUAAAAUAUCUCAUAUUUAUCUACUUUCCACUGUUACCACCACGUAGACCAGGGUGUUUUAUCUUUUGGCUUCACUGGGCCACAUUGGCAGAAGAAUCGUCUUGGGCCACACGUAAAAUACAAUAACACCAACCAUAGCUGAUGAGCUAAAAAAAAAAAAAAAAUCACAAGAAAAUCUCAUAAUGUUUUAAGAAAGUUUANGGUGUGCAGGAGAAAAUUU